GACAGAGGGUGCGAACGUUGUUCGGAAUUACUGGGCGUAAAGCGCGUGUAGGCGGCAACGCAAGUCGGGCGUGAAAUCCCACGGCUCAACCGUGGAAGUGCACUCGAAACUGCGUAGCUAGAGUCCUGGAGAGGAAGGUGGAAUGCUUGGUGUAGAGGUGAAAUUCGUAGAUAUCAAGCGGAACACCGGUGGCGAAGGCGGCCUUCUGGACAGUGACUGACGCUGAGACGCGAAAGCGUGGGGAGCAAACAGGGAUUAAGAAACCCCGGUGAG
rnacentral:rRNA from 1 species